AGAUACUUCGAUUUUCCGGUCGCGCGAGAUUUUUUUUGGUUACCGGAACCGGUAGUAUUCGUGCGGCAGUAUUUAAGCCGAAAGCAGUGGUAAUUUCGUUCCAGUCUGGUUUUGUCUUCAAAAUCAGACACCAAAGGAUAAUCGGAGCCCUUUGUUUGUUCAAGGAUCGGAUAUCAGUUAAUUCUUUGGAUUUAUAUCAGUGCUUUUCUAUCGUCUUCAUGGAGUUCCAGCGUGUUGAGCAUAGGGGUAAGUUGACCAUCCAUAGUUUUUUUAUUAUUCUAAUAAGCAUAGUUAUUUAAGUCAUCCCAAGUACCUUAAUAUCUAAUCUAACUAUUUUUGUUCAUAUUAUCGCAAUAAGUGUUCCACUUUUUUAGUAAAAAUGGACCCACUGCAUCAGGUAUCUUGGCUAGAAAACGAAACUAGCCGCCAUUACUAACCGGAAAUGAUAGAUUCAAUGGUUAUCAAUGGCUGCAUAGCUUUUUUGUUAGAUCGAUUUUUUUAAAAUCCAUCAUCAAGAACAGUUUUAUUUAGUCAUCCGUGAUUUUGAAUAUAAUGUGGGCGUGGCAGGCCUUGAUGUCGAUGUUGUUGACAAUAAGUUUUGAAGGCAUAUGUCCGAGGUGAAGAACUUUUGUAGGAAGAUUACCCGCAGCUGGCACCUAUUUGCACCUUACUUGGAUAAAAAAAUUUCUAUCGAUGCUGCUGGCAAAAAGACACCUAUCCAAGACAGCACUGAACGACCUAGUAUGGUGAAGAAGUUGCGACGUGAAGGUGAUGUUGAGGCUACUGAAAGGCAGGUAACACAGAACAACACUGUGCUUGUUGUUGCAGAAAAGCGGUUAGUCUUUUAAGGGCUUUUUGGCAAGAUGUUGACUGGACCGUGGAUGACACUGAUCUACAAAAUGAAAGAUGAAACAUUUUAAAGAUACCAUUUAUGCAGCUAUUAUAUUUAUUCUCUUGUUUUCUAGAUCUCUCAUGUGAAGGUCUGCAUUGACAAACUAAAGGCCAUUGUGGAUUCUCCAGAGAAUCUCCUUUCAAUACUAAUUGAUUGCUUUGGCCAGACUCUGGAUACUGAAGAUCUCGUUCUGAAAACCCUGAGAAAUGUGACUGUUGAUGAAGUAUUUAUCGAGAUCACUAAAGAACUUGCUGAAGGUUUUUGUAAGGUGCUACAGAGACAGUACUUCAAUUGAUAAUUUCCAACUACAAACAAAUCCAUUAUGUGCUUACCCAUCAAAUAGUUAGAUAUAUUUUAUUUUAAGGGAACAUGUUGCAUAUCUGGGAUAUUUAUUUAAUGUGAAAAAUAUAAUUUCACAAU